GAAAGCGAAAUCGAAAAAUUGAGAAAUCGGGAAAUAGGGAAAUCGAGAAAUAAGGAAAUCGAGAAAUCGAGAAAGCAAAAACGCGAAAACACAAAAACGAAAAGUAUUUUUGCCUUCUCGAUUGCCCGAUUUCCCGAUUUCGCAAUUUCUCGAUUUCUCGAUUUCUCGAUUUCUCAAUUUCCCGAUUUCUCUAUUU
rnacentral:sRNA from 1 species